CACGGGGGGAGCAAGCGUUGUUCGGAAUCACUGGGCGUAAAGGGUGCGUAGGCGGCGGGGCAAGUCGGAUGUGAAAUCUCAGGGCUCAACCCUGAAACUGCAUUCGAUACUGCCUUGCUCGAGGACUGGAGAGGAGAUUGGAAUUCACGGUGUAGCAGUGAAAUGCGUAGAUAUCGUGAGGAAGACCAGUGGCGAAGGCGGAUCUCUGGACAGUUCCUGACGCUGAGGCACGAAGGCCAGGGGAGCAAACGGG
rnacentral:rRNA from 1 species